UACGGAAGGCAGCAGUGGGGAAUAUUGCACAAUGGGCGCAAGCCUGAUGCAGCCAUGCCGCGUGUAUGAAGAAGGCCUUCGGGUUGUAAAGUACUUUCAGUCGUGAGGAAGGUGUUAAGGUUAAUAACCUUAGCAAUUGACGUUAGCGACAGAAGAAGCACCGGCUAACUCCGUGCCAGCAGCCGCGGUAAUACGGAGGGUGCGAGCGUUAAUCGGAAUUACUGGGCGUAAAGGGCACGCAGGCGGUUAAUUAAGUUGGAUGUGAAAUCCCCGGGCUUAACCUGGGAAUGGCAUUCAAGACUGGUUAGCUAGAGUCUUGUAGAGGGGGUAGAAUUCCAUGUGUAGCGGUGAAAUGCGUAGAGAUGUGGAGGAAUACCGGUGGCGAAGGCGGCCCCUGGGACAAAGGACUGACGCUCAUGUGCGAAAGCGUGGGGA
rnacentral:rRNA from 1 species